rnacentral:rRNA from 1 species
GUCCACGCCGUAAACGAUGGGCACUAGAUGCCGGGCCUAUAGACGGGUUCGGUGUCGCAGCUAACGCAUUAAGUGCCCCGCCUGGGGAGUACGGCCGCAAGGCUGAAACUCAAAGGAAUUGACGGGGGCCCGCACAAGCGGUGGAGCAUGUGGUUUAAUUCGAAGCAACGCGAAGAACCUUACCUGGGCUUGACAUACAAGUGAAAGCUCCUGGAAACAGGAGCCCUCCUUCGGGACGCUUGUACAGGUGCUGCAUGGCUGUCGU